rnacentral:rRNA from 1 species
UACGUAGGGAGCAAGCGUUGUUCGGAUUUACUGGGCGUAAAGGGCGCGUAGGCGGCGCAACAAGUCAGUUGUGAAAUCUCUGGGCUUAACCCAGAGCGGUCAACUGAUACUGUCGUGCUAGAGUGCGGAAGGGGCAACUGGAAUUCUCGGUGUAGCGGUGAAAUGCGUAGAUAUCGAGAGGAACACCUGCGGCGAAGGCGGGUUGCUGGGCCGACACUGACGCUGAGGCGCGAAAGCUAGGGGAGCGAACGGG